rnacentral:rRNA from 1 species
UACGUAGGGUGCAAGCGUUGUCCGGAAUUAUUGGGCGUAAAGAGCUCGUAGGCGGUUUGUCGCGUCUGCUGUGAAACCGAGGCUCAACCUCGGGCCUGCAGUGGGUACGGGCAGACUAGAGUGCGGUAGGGAGAUUGGAAUUCCUGGUGUAGCGGUGGAAUGCGCAGAUAUCAGGAGGAACACCAGUGGCGAAGGCGGAUCUCUGGGCCG